CACAAGUUGAGAGACAGGGUCAGUGUCCUGACCAAUGAGAAGGUGGCGCUGGAGAAGAGGCUCUCUGAGUGUGAGCAAAACAUUUGUCGGAAAAUAUGGAAAAUUCGUCCAGAGGGAUGGAAGCUGUUGGGAUCCUGAGUACUACUCACUCACUCACCUGUUCCUCCUUGCUGUUUAUGAUCAUCAGGUCUGCUCCUCUGUUCAGACAGUCCAGUCUGCUCUCCUCCCAGGUUUUCAUCUCCGUAGACAGGAGUUUCUUGUUGGCUUUACUAAGGGAGCCUGGAUUGGUCUGACAUACUCUGUUACUUAGGGGACCUGGAAAUGGGUGGACGGCACACCACUUACCACCCCAAGGCUGUUGGCGAGGGGUACCCCGUUCCCCGACUGGAUAACUGAACGUGGGUGUAGGAGGGAGGGAGAGAAAGGGAGAGAGAGGGGGAUGGUACUCACUAUACCCAAAGAGGGCCACGUCAUGACAUAAGGCAGGUUCUCAACAGACGUCACUGGCAACAACGUCGCCUACCAUCGCUUGACCAGAUUGUACGUUCCUGAGACACUCC
ensembl:lncRNA